UAUCGUAGUGUUUUAUCGCAGUGUAGAAGAAAUGUACAAUUUAACACUUUAAUUAUAUAAUAAUUGAUGUGCAAUUAUUUCCGAGGUAUAUUCGACUAGCGUGGAGCGGUCAAAGGUCCUAUCUAUGAUGAGAAAAUCGUGGAAACUAUAACUUGGUAAAUGCACUUCAGCUCCACGUAUCUUUAACUUGAUUUGUCGACAUACAAACCCCAUUAUUCAACGAUUUGCAUUCACUAUUUGAUAUAGCUUUUGCCAUGACGAAAUUAAACUCUGGUUUUUUAAAUUUUAAUAAAAUGUGCUAAAUAUUUUAUCCACUUCAUCAACCAUGAUUGUAUUAUUUUGUACAUCCGU
rnacentral:lncRNA from 1 species